UACGUAGGGCGCAAGCGUUGUCCGGAGUUACUGGGCGUAAAGCGCGCGCAGGCGGUCAGAUUAGUCUGUCGUGACAGUCGUCGGCUCAACUGACGAAGUACGAUGGAAACUGUCUGACUUGAGGGCUUCAGAGGGACACGGAAUUCCGGGUGGAGUGGUGAAAUGCGGUAGAUAUCCGGAGGAACACCAAAGGCGAAGGCAGUGUCCUGGGGAGUACCUGACGCUCAGGUGCGAAAGCCAGGGGAGCGAACGGGG
rnacentral:rRNA from 1 species